UAGCCGUAAACGAUACUCGCUAGGUGUCGGCCACGGUGCGACCGUUGUCGGUGCCGUAGGGAAGCCGUGAAGCGAGCCACCUGGGAAGUACGGCCGCAAGGCUGAAACUUAAAGGAAUUGGCGGGGGAGCACCACAACGGGUGGAGCUUGCGGGUUUAAUUUGGAUUCAACGCCGGAAAUCUUACCGGGACCGACAGCAACAUGAAGGCCAGGCUGAAGACUUUGCCGGAUUAGCUGAGAGGUGGUGCAUGGCGUAGUCGUGU
rnacentral:rRNA from 1 species